rnacentral:rRNA from 1 species
GACGAACGCUGGCGGCGUGCUUAACACAUGCAAGUCGAACGAUGAUGCUGGAGCUUGCUCCAGUUGAUUAGUGGCGAACGGGUGAGUAACACGUGAGCAAUCUGCCCUUGACUCUGGAAUAACUGCGGGAAACUGUAGCUAAUACCGGAUACUUUCACCGGGGGGCAUCCUCUGGUGAUGAAAGAAUUUCGGUCAAGGAUGAGCUCGCGGCCUAUCAGCUUGUUGGUGAGGUAACGGCCCACCAAGGCGACGACGGGUAACCGGCCUGAGAGGGUGACCGGUCACACUGGGACUGAGACACGGCCCAGACUCCUACGGGAGGCAGCAGUGGGGAAUAUUGCACAAUGGGCGCAAGCCUGAUGCAGCAACGCCGCGUGAGGGAUGAAGGCCUUCGGGUUGUAAACCUCUUUUAGCAGGGAAGAAGCGAAAGUGACGGUACCUGCAGAAAAAGCACCGGCUAACUACGUGCCAGCCGCCGCGGUAA